AACUAACGCUGGCGGCGUGCCUAACACAUGCAAGUCGUACGAGAAAGUCGGCUUCGGCUGAUGAGUAAAGUGGCGCACGGGUGAGUAACGCGUGGAUAAUCUGCCCUUGAGUGUGGAAUAACGUACCGAAAGGUGCGCUAAUACCGCAUAAUGCCUGGCAACACAAGUUGUCCGGCCAAAGAAGGCCUCUGUUUACAAGCUUUUGCUCAAGGAUGAGUCCGCGUACCAUUAGCUAGUUGGUGGGGUAACGGCCUACCAAGGCUACGAUGGUUAGCUGGUCUGAGAGGAUGAUCAGCCACACUGGAACUGAGACACGGUCCAGACUCCUACGGGAGGCAGCAGUGAGGAAUAUUGCGCAAUGGGGGCAACCCUGACGCAGCAACGCCGCGUGAGUGAGGAAGGUUUUCGGACUGUAAAGCUCUGUCGAGGCGGGAAGAAAUGUAACCAUGGCUAAUAUCCAUGAUAUUUGACGGUACG
rnacentral:rRNA from 1 species